rnacentral:tRNA from 22 species
GCGGGAAUAGCUCAGUUGGUAGAGCGAUACCUUGCCAAGGUAUAGGUCGAGAGUUCGAGCCUCUUUUCCCGCUCCA